UCUGUCACCUAGGCUGGAGUGCAGUGGCGCAAUCUCAGCUCACUGCAACCUCCGCCUCCUGGGUUUAAGCGAUCCUCCUGCCUCAGCCUCCUGAGUAGCUGGGAUUACAGGCGCACACCACCACACCCGGCUAAUUUUUGUGUUUUUAGUAGAGACACGGUUUCACCAUGUUGGUCAGGCUGGUCUCGAACUCCUGACCUCGUGAGCUGCCCACCUUGGCCUCCCAAAGUGCUGGGAUUAUAGGCGUGAGCCACCGCGCCUGGCUACCACUAUCAGCAUUUUCUUAAGCAAUCCUGAAGUUGUGUCACGCUCAAACCCAUCCAUUCGUUCCAUAUGCUUCCUGAGCAUCUGGUUUUGCCUGACAUUAUGGGAGGCACUGAGGAUACAGUGAAAACCAAGACAGAAAGGUCCCUGCCUUCAUGGGGCAGUGAAGACCUCCUGCCUUUAUGGGGCAAGCCUUCUAGAGGAGCUUGAGAAAUAAGGCAAAUUCAGCAUGGAUGAACAUAAAUCUAUAAAAUAAUUUCGAAAAGCCGUAAGGGCUAUGAACCAAAGUAGAGCUGAGUGAUGUAGCAGAGAAGCACUGGGUAGUCAGGGAGACCUUCCUGGAGGAGGUGUCUUCUCUGCUCAGGCCUGGGUGACAAGAAAGAGCCAUGUGAAACUGGGGAUAAGGGCUGGCUUAAAAUAGGCUGUGGCACAUAGUAGAUGCUCAGAGUGAGAGGGACUUCUAGCUAACAUGGAACUAACAGGGAUAUUUUUCUCUUUUCCCUCUCCAAACCCCACUAAGAUGACAAUAUAAGGAAAAAUGUUUAAGUCGCAAACUUAUAAAGAAAGUCAAUGACAAAGAAAGUCAAUGGCAAGGACAAAAAGUCUACAGAACUUUUCCUUUGGAGACAGGGUCUCUCUCUGGCACCCAGGCUGGAUUGCAGUGGCGUAAUCUUUGCUCACUGCAGCCUCAACCUCCUGGACUCAAGUGAUCCUCCCGCUUCAAGCUCCAGAGUAGCUGGGCCCACAGGCGUGCGCCACCACACCCCACUAAUUUUAAAUUCUUCUGUAGAGACAGGGUCUUGCCACGUUGCCCAGGCUGGUCUUGAAUUCCUGGACUCAAGCGAUCUUCCUGAUUCAGCCUCCCAAAGUGCUGGGAUUACAGAAGCGAGCCACCGCAUCCAGCCUACAGAAUUUUCGAAGCUGGAAAAUUAAUAGUAAUCACCUAGGCAGAGUGGAGGAAGCUGCAACCAAAUUCUGCAUGUCGAGGGAACCAUUCAAGGCCAGAGGCCCCCCAGAUACAUAGCCUGGGAGUCACAAGGUCCCUCUGGAAGUGGGGGGGCAGGUGGGGACAGAAACAAGAUGAGUUCAGAGCUUGUAAAAACAGCACUUGUGCCUUCCAGCUUCCCAGAACCGAAGGUCAUGUCUCCAGAUUUGAAAGGAUCCACUGAGUGUCCAGCUUGAUGCAAGAAGAAAACAGGCUAUUAUGAAUUCCCAGGAAAACAAACAACACAAAAUGGAAAAUGUUGUCACAAUGUACUGCACAGCUCAGCUGGGAACAAUAUUUACAUAACCAUAAUACUGUAAACACCAAAUACUGAUGCAUCCCAAAACUGAUGAAAUGAGUCUUGGAGCUCACAGGAGGUGAAGCACAGGGUUCAUACCUAAGAGAACCAAAUCCUCACUGAGUGUCCAUGGUAGAGAGCCGGCGGAUACUGCCUAAAAUAGCAAAUAAAUAAAAGAAUCGCAGUGUAGCAUGAGACUGAGAAAUAAGGAGGGAAGAGCUCAAAGGGCCGAAGAGGUGCUGCUGCCGUGUCGCGGCGAAGAGGUGCUGCUGCCGUGUCGCGGCGGGACUGGGUCUGUUGGGGGGCCACGACCCGGCACACAAGACCGAAGGAGCAGAGAAGCAGAGGAGCGCAGGGACACA
rnacentral:lncRNA from 1 species